CCGUUGGUGAACCAGCGGAGGGAUCAUUACCGAGUUUACAACUCCCAAACCCCUAUGUGAACGUUACCAAACUGUUGCCUCGGCGGGAAAUUCAUGCCCCGGGCGCGUCGCAGCCCCGGACCAAGGCGCCCGCCGGAGGACCAACCAAAACUCUUUUGUAUGUCCCUCGCGGACUUUUAUAAUUCUGAACCAUCUCGGCGCCCCUAGCGGGCGUUUCGAAAAUGAAUCAAAACAUUCAACAACGGAUCUCUUGGUUCUG
rnacentral:misc_RNA from 1 species